AUCGCUUCUCGGCCUAUCGGCUAAGAUCAAGUGUAGUGUCUGUUCUUAUCAGUUUAAUACCUGAUAUGUCCUCUAUUUGAGGAUUAUCUAUUAAAUGGAUUUUUGGAACUGGGAAAUGGAAUAGGGGCUUGCUCUAACCAUUCCACGCAUUGACCUGGUAUUGCAGUAUCUCCAGGAACAGUGCACCUCCC